rnacentral:rRNA from 1 species
AACGAACGCUGGCGGCAUGCCUAACACAUGCAAGUCGAACGAAGCCUUCGGGCUUAGUGGCGCACGGGUGCGUAACGCGUGGGAAUCUGCCCUUUGGUUCGGAAUAACAGUUGGAAACGACUGCUAAUACCGGAUGAUGACGAAAGGCCAAAGAUUUAUCGCCAGAGGAUGAGCCCGCGUAGGAUUAGCUAGUUGGUGUGGUAAAGGCGCACCAAGGCGACGAUCCUUAGCUGGUAUGAGAGGAUGAUCAGCCACACUGGGACUGAGAAACGGCCCAGACUCCUACGGGAGGCAGCAGUGGGGAAUAUUGGACAAUGGGCGAAAGCCUGAUCCAGCAAUGCCGCGUGAGUGAUGAAGGCCCUAGGGUUGUAAAGCUCUUUUACCCGGGAUGAUAAUGACAGUACCGGGAGAAUAAGCCCCGGCUAACUCCGUGCCAGCCGCCGCCGUAA